rnacentral:rRNA from 1 species
AGUGAACGCUGGCGGUAGGCCUAACACAUGCAAGUCGAACGGCAGCACAGUAAGAGCUUGCUCUUACGGGUGGCGAGUGGCGGACGGGUGAGGAAUACAUCGGAAUCUACUUUUUCGUGGGGGAUAACGUAGGGAAACUUACGCUAAUACCGCAUACGACCUACGGGUGAAAGCAGGGGAUCUUCGGACCUUGCGCGAUUGAAUGAGCCGAUGUCGGAUUAGCUAGUUGGCGGGGUAAAGGCCCACCAAGGCGACGAUCCGUAGCUGGUCUGAGAGGAUGAUCAGCCACACUGGAUCUGAGACACGGUCCAGACUCCUACGGGAGGCAGCAGUGGGGAAUAUUGGACAAUGGGCGCAAGCCUGAUCCAGCCAUACCGCGUGGGUGAAGAAGGCCUUCGGGUUGUAAAGCCCUUUUGUUGGGAAAGAAAAGCAGCAGGUUAAUACCCCGCUGUUCUGACGGUACCCAAAGAAUAAGCACCGGCGAACUUCGU